ACUGAACGCUGGCGGCGUGCCUAACACAUGCAAGUCGAUCGGUAACGCGGGGGCAACCCUGGCGACGAGAGGCGGACGGGUGAGCAAUGCUUGGGAAUCAGCCCAUCAGCGGGGGACAACCCGGGGAAACCCGGGCUAAUACCGCAUACGCUCUACGGAGGAAAGCCGGGGACCGCAAGGCCUGGCACUGAUGGAUGAGCCCAAGUCGGAUUAGCUAGUUGGCGGGUAACGGCCCACCAAGGCGACGAUCCGUAGCUGGUCUGAGAGGACGAUCAGCCACACCGGAACUGAGACACGGUCCGGACUCCUACGGGAGGCAGCAGUGGGGAAUAUUGGACAAUGGGGGAAACCCUGAUCCAGCGACGCCGCGUGGGUGAAGAAGGCCUGCGGGUUGUAAAGCCCUUUCGGUAGGGACGAAAGCUUCCGACCUAACACGUCGGGAGGUUGACUUAACCUACAGAAGAAGCACCGGCUAACUCUGUGCCAGCCGCCGCCGUAACAC
rnacentral:rRNA from 1 species